rnacentral:tRNA from 1 species
GGGCAUAGCUCAGUGGUUGAGCACAUGCUUCACAUGUAUGAGGUCCCAGGUUCAAUCCCUGGUACCACCU